GAUGAACGCUGGCGGCGCGCCUAACACAUGCAAGUCGAACGGUUAAAGCACCUUUUAGGUGUGUAUAAAGUGGCGAACGGCUGAGUAACACGUGGGCAACCUGCCCUCCUCUUGGGGAUAGCCUCGGGAAACCGAGGAUAAUACCCGAUACUUCAAUGUGGCCGCAUGACGACAUUGAGAAAGCUUUUGCGGAGAAGGAUGGGCCCGCGGCCUGUUAGCUUGUUGGUGGGGUAGAGGCCUACCAAGGCAAUGAUGGGUAGCUGGGUUGAGAGACCGACCAGCCAGAUUGGGACUGAGACACGGCCCAGACUCCUACGGGAGGCAGCAGUGGGGAAUCUUGCACAAUGGGCGAAAGCCUGAUGCAGCGACGCCGCGUGCGGGACGAAGGCCUUUCGGGUUGUAAACCGCUUUUCAGCAGGGACGAGGCGAAAGUGACGGUACCUGCAGAAGAAGCCCCGCUAACUAC
rnacentral:rRNA from 2 species